AAGUCGAGCGAGCUUGCCUAGAUGAUUUUAGUGCUUGCACUAAAUGAAACUAGAUACAAGCGAGCGGCGGACGGGUGAGUAACACGUGGGUAACCUGCCCAAGAGACUGGGAUAACACCUGGAAACAGAUGCUAAUACCGGAUAACAACACUAGACGCAUGUCUAGAGUUUUGAAAGAUGGUUCUGCUAUCACUCUUGGAUGGACCUGCGGUGCAUUAGCUAGUUGGUAAGGUAACGGCUUACCAAGGCAAUGAUGCAUAGCCGAGUUGAGAGACUGAUCGGCCACAUUGGGACUGAGACACGGCCCAAACUCCUACGGGAGGCAGCAGUAGGGAAUCUUCCACAAUGGACGAAAGUCUGAUGGAGCAACGCCGCGUGAGUGAAGAAGGGUUUCGGCUCGUAAAGCUCUGUUGUUGGUGAAGAAGGAUAGAGGUAGUAACUGGCCUUUAUUUGACGGUAAUCAACCAGAAAGUCACGGCUAACUACGUGCC
rnacentral:rRNA from 1 species